rnacentral:lncRNA from 1 species
UCUGUCAUGUAGCUUCUUGGGCGGCAGCAAGCCGAAAGGAUCACAGUGGUGGGUCAGGAGCGCCGCAGUUGAAGGGAGCGAGAUGGUUCUCCUAUGAUGAACUCAAGAAGUGCACUAGUAACUUCUCAGGGAGCAAUGAGAUAGGUUCUGGAGGAUAUGGAAAGGUGAAAAUCCAUAAGCAACGUUUCUAAACACAAUGAAAAUGAGAAUGACUAAACGACAUAAUGACUAAUCACGAGAGGUAGUAAACCAUUUACCUGGUCUGGUUACCCGCAGGUGUACAGAGGAAUGCUUUCGGAUGGACAGCUAGUGGCAAUCAAACGAGCACGACAAGGAUCACUGCAAGGUGGGCAGGAGUUCAAGACUGAAAUCGAGCUGCUAUCAAGAGUACACCACAAGAAUCUCU